GCGGAGGGACCCGGGACUCCGCAGGCGGCCGGUGAGUUCGCGGCUCCUUCCCCGCCGCAGCUGCCGGUGAUUCAUUCAGACUCGUAGGGAACGUGUCGGAGCCGCCGCCAGCCGGAGCUGCGGUGCCCGCGCUCCCAGGCACCAAACCGCGCGGGGAAGUGAGGAAGCCAAGACUAAAGGCGGAGCAUGCCCAGCACAACACAUUUCCCUGCAUAGCCACUUGUGUCCCUGUAAAAGCUGGCACUCACCCUUUGUGUAUCUGGGCAUUUAAAGUCAUCAGUGAUAACACACAGCCUGCUGUGGUUAUUUUCUGUACCGCCUUCAAGGAGCUCUCAGGAGCAGUUGCAACCAGCAAUGGUAAAAUUAUAUAUUAGCUACAGAACAUUUGAAAUCUGAUGUGCAGGUCCCAGAGAGAAGUCUGCCAGCCCAGCUGGGCCCUUGCCCAAGCUACAGGAAAGAAAGGGGUGCUCUGAUGGCAUCAAAAGAAGUCUUUCAUUUCUGGGAGCCUCUGACUGCGUUUGCUUCCCCAACUCCCCUGCUAUGCCCCAUCUCUACUGUCACCUGCUCUGGAAGGAGCCCAGCACCAGUAGGUGUUUGGAUCCAACACUCACCACAGAUCACUGCAAUAGUCACAUUCCAAUAACCCCAAGAACUAAUUUCUGGUCCUCCCAGACACUAUUAAAUGCUCCUAACAAGUGCCCACCAGCCCCCUCCCAAAAUGCUGAUGGCGGGGACUAAAUUCUGCCCAUUAACCCAGAUUUAUGACUUAGGAGUCCCAUGUUACAAUAAGAUGCCUGGGGGGAGCUGGAUGUAGUGUCCUGUUUAAAGCCAUUGCAGAGCCUAGUGGGGAAAGCAGAAAAUGUGCGAUUGACAGAUUCAGAGAGGAUGAGCAACACAGAGACUGGAGAACAGAGGCUGGAACUUACCUGCUGGAGUCACGAUGGUGAUGGGCAAGAUUGCGAAUUCAUUCCAUGUGUGGUUGUGUUUCCUGAUCUGGAGUUUCUGUUGAUAAUCUGAAAGAGAAAACCGUUAGUGCUUUUGGGGCUGCUCUAAAGGAGGAGCCUGGUGGGUGGGGGACUAGAGACAGUUAGUCUCCAGUGGGUGCGGGCAGCACUCGGGUAGUAACAACUCAUCUGUAUGGGAACACUCAGGAAAAUUAUGGGGAAAUCAACUAACGCUGCGACAUUAGUGUGCAUAAAUUAGACUGCAUUAAUCCUGCUCCAAUACUGAAGUAAAGAGGCUUUCAUUCAUAACCUAAUUUUCCUUAAGAGUAAUUUGUGGAUUGCUGUGACAGUGCUACAAGCAACAAAAUAUUUACAUGUACAGAUGUGUCCACAUGCAGAGCCCUACAUUUCCACAUGCUCACAUCACUCACCUAUUUCAAAAUGAACAGAAAAAGGAAAAAGUGAAGUGAAAGAGAGAGACCAAAGGAGAGGCCUGGACCAGAAUUUACAGAGGAAUACAGUCAGGAUGAUUUGAUUUAUAUCAAGUGAUUUAAAUCAGCAAAUGGGAAACUUUUUUAAAUACACCUCUACCCCAAUAUAACAGUCCUCGGGAGCCAAAAACCACGUUAUAGGUGAAACCGUGUUAUAUCGAACUUUCUUUGAUCCGGAGUGCGCUGCCCCGCCUCACCAUGAUAUAUCCAAAUUUGUGUUAUGUCGGGCCGUUAUAUCGGGGUAGAGGUGUAAUUGAUUUUAAUUGUUUUACAUUUGUACUACUUAGUUAUUUUCCUAAAGAGAGGUUGUUUCUCAUUGUUUAGUAGCCAUUAAAACAUGCUGAUUUGUAACUAAAUAUUGUCUUUACACUACAUUUGGUGCUUCCUUUUGCUAGGCAGGAGGACAUACUAUAUCAAUACACUUUAAGCAUUUAUAUAGAAUAACCUAAGAAUCUGAAUAAAUGUAAUUUUUAUAUUUCA